GCCUGGGUGGCUCAGUUGGUAAAGCAUCAGACUUUGACUCAGAUCAUGACCUCACACAGUUGGUGAGUUCGAGCCCCACAUCGGGCU
rnacentral:tRNA from 1 species